AGAAUUAGCAGGGCCCAACUCAUUAGCAUUUCAAUGGAUUCUCUCUGUGUGUGUGUGUGUGUGUGUCAUACAGGCCUGAAGAGAGCUCACGCCUUCCUGCAGUGAGGCCAGAGGGUAUGAUUCCUGCUGUUAAAGAUUAUAAAUGAAAAAUAUAUGAAAACAUGGUUAAUGUACAUACUUUGCAAAAAAAAACAUCACAAACAUGUUUUACAAACUAUUAGCUCCAGUAUU